rnacentral:rRNA from 1 species
UCAUUGCUGGAACAAACGCCCUCACGGGUGCUACCCAGAAACCCUUUGUGAAUACUACCUAAAUGUUGCCUCGGCAGUGGUUGGCCUUCUAGAAGGUCCCCUUUUUUUUCGGAAGGGAGCAGACCGGCCGGUGGCCCCUAUAAACCCUUGUUUUUGUAUUAUCUUCUGAGUAAACAAACAAAAUAAAUCAAAACUUUCAACAACGGAUCUCUUGGUUCUGGCAUCGAUGAAGAACGCAGCGAAAUGCGAUAAGUAAUGUGAAUUGCAGAAUUCAGUGAAUCAUCGAAUCUUUGAACGCACAUUGCGCCCGGUGGUAUUCCACCGGGCAUGCCUGUUUGAGCGUCAUUUCACCCCUCAAAUUUUACUAUUUGGUGUUGGAGGAAUACCUGUAAAAAGGUACCCUCUGAAAUUUAGUGGCGGGCUCGCUAGAAUUUUGAGCGUAGUAAUUUUACCUCGUUUGUAAAGACUAGUGGGUUCUUGCCGUAAAACCCCCCAACUUUCUGA